GGGUGAUCUGGCUGUGACAUCUGACAACCCAUUUAUCGCCAGGGCUGAUUUGGCUGAUCUGGCUGACUAGGUGGAUGUCCCCUUCUGCUCCAAGUGCCUCCCUCCAGAAGCUGCGCUCUCAAUUGAAGAGGACAACUUUCCCCACAUAGAGGAGGACCUGUCUUUGGGAAUGUGAGUAGCUGCGCUCCCCUGUUAGAACCUCCAAACAAGCUCAAGGUUUUUGGGUUUUGGUUUUUGGAUUUUGGUUGUUGUUGUUGUUUUGAGACAGGGUCUCUCUACAUAGCCAUGGGUGUUCUGGAUCACUAUGU
rnacentral:snRNA from 1 species